AUGCAGCAACACGGGCUAGCACCACCGGUGGGCACGCAGGCAGAGAAGGAGCACGACGGCUGCGCAUGGGAGCUCGACGAGGACUCGCGGGAGACCACGGAGGGCGCGCGCGAGCUGCUGUCCACCGGAUCGUGGAGGCCGGCUCUGGCGAUGCCCGUAGUUGGAUCGCGGUGGCGCACGGGAGGCAGCUCAAGGUGGACUCGCGGGAGCUCGAGGACGAUGAGAAGGAGCUCCUGCUCCACCGGAUCGUAG
rnacentral:rRNA from 1 species